GAUGAAGAACGCAGCGAAAUGCGAUAAGUAAUGUGAAUUGCAGAAUUCAGUGAAUCAUCGAAUCUUUGAACGCACAUUGCGCCCGCCAGUAUUCUGGCGGGCAUUCCUGUUCGAGCGUCAUUACAACCCUCAGGCCCCCGGGCCUGGCGUUGGGGAUCGGCGGAAGCCCCCUGCGGGCACAACGCCGUCCCCCAAAUACAGUGGCGGUCCCGCCGCAGCUUCCAUUGCGUAGUAGCUAACACCUCGCAACUGGAGAGCGGCGCGGCCACGCCGUAAAACACCCAACUUCUGAAUGUUGACCUCGAAUCAGGUAGGAAUACCCGCUGAACUUAAGCAUAUCAAUAAGCGGAGGA
rnacentral:misc_RNA from 1 species